rnacentral:rRNA from 1 species
GGAAUUUAAUUUUGUUGUCAGAGUAGUAAUAGUUAAGAUCUUGAAACUCAAAAAAUUUGGCGGUAUUUUAGUCUAUUUAGAGGAACUUGUAAUGUAAUCGAUAAUCCACGUUGGACCUAACUUAGUUUUGUAAUAUUUCAAUUUGUAUACCGCCGUUUUUGAAAAUUUUAUCAGGAAAAUAAUUUUCAAAAUUUUUUAUAGAAAAAUAAGUCAGGUCAAGGUGCAGUUAAUAAUUAAGUUUUUUAUGAGUUACAAUAAAUUUAUUUAAGCGAAUUAUAAAAUGAAAUUUUUAUAUGAAGAUGGAUUUAAAAGUAAACUUUUAAAGAUAAAAAUGUUGAUU